UUAUCUCUGUUGCAUGAAUGGAAUUGGUAUCUUAAGUUGCCAUUUUUGUUUGGACAAAUAGUACUCUACUGAAGAAUUUAGUGUAGCUAAUCACAGUUUUUAUGAACGGUUUAGGGCUCUGUGUGUUGAAGUGAGUGGUAUGGUGUCUGUUGGUUUUAGAGCAUUGGCAUUGAGAAACCAUAACUCACAUAAUUCAUCUCAGAACGGCUUGAUUACCGACCAAGGUAAAACUUCGUUUACGCGCAGGAAAAUGGGCAGGAAAGGAAGCAAGAAAGAUAGUGGAUUUCAUCGCAAUGAUUCAAACAUGGAUGAAUCUGGCGGUGCAACGGGAAGAGCUCGGAAUUUUUCACGGGACAAGGGAGGCGCAGCGCCUCACGCUGAGUCUCAGGCGUCGUUUGUUAGAAAGCAGGUUGAUCCAGAGACAGCUAAGUACUUCUCGGAGAUUACAAAUGUUAUAGAAGGUACAGAGGUGGACAUGGAGGAGCGAUCUGUUAUAUGCGGUACUGCAUUGGAAGAAGCCAGAGGCAAAGAAGUGGAGCUUGCAACUGAUUAUAUUAUUAGCCACACUAUGCAAACUCUUCUUGAAGGCUGCACGUUGGACUGCCUUUGUUCUUUUCUGCGCAGCUCAGCCGGUGAAUUUUCCCAGAUUUGUAUGGAUAGGUCCGGUUCCCAUGUAGCUGAAACGGCUCUCAAGUCUUUGGCCAGGCACCUUGAGGAUACCGAGAGCCACCCUAUCAUUGAAGAGACACUAUCCGUAUUGUGCGAGGCAAUUGUGGCAAAUCCCGUUGAUAUAAUGUGCAAUUGUUACGGAUCUCAUGUCCUUCGGAGACUUCUUUGUCUCUGUAAAGGAGUUCCCAUGGACUCGUUGGAAUUUCAUAGCACAAACCCGUCUGCCGUGCUGGCAGAACGUUUGAAUCUGCGAUCAUCUCAUGCGGACAGUCAUAACGCACCACAGAACCAGCCAUUCCCGAAUCAACUAAAAUUUCUCAUAUCAGAGAUGGUCGAUCCUUCAAGGGCAGACAUGGCAACCCUACAAGCUAAUCAAUAUAGUAGUUUGGUUCUGCAGACUGCUUUGAAAUUAUUAGCUGGGCAAGAGGAGGAACUGUUCCGUUUGAUUCCCAUUCUCCUUGGCUGCCCUAUCGAUGCUGUAUCAGAAGAAAGCUUCAUUGAAGUUAAACGUUUAGUGGAAGAAAAUGCAUACAGUCAUUUGAUGGAGGUCAUCUUGGCAGUGGCACCUGAUACAAUUUACAAUGGCAUAUUCACAAAAAUCUUCAAGAAUUCUUUAUUUAGACUGUCAUCGCAUUUCUGUGGAAACUUUGUCAUACAAGCAUUGAUAUCUCAUGCAAGAGGGCAAGAACAUAUAAAGUUGAUAUUUGAGGAACUGGGGCCGAAAUUUAGAGAUCUUCUUGAGUUGGGAAGGGCUGGAGUUGUGGCAGCUCUUCUUGCUUCCAGUCAAAGACUUCAGGGCAAUCAGCAUGAGUGUUGUCAAGCCCUUGCUGAUGCUGUUUGUUUGAGUGCCGAGUCUUCUGUGUGCAUUGUUCCGCGGCUAUUAUUUCUUGAAAAUUACCUCUAUUCUGUAGAUAAAGACAACUGGGGUUGGCCAAGUGGUUUAAAAAUGCAUGUUUUGGGCUCUUUGAUGCUGCAGUCGAUUUUCAGAUACCCCAGUGAAUUCGUAAAAUCAUAUAUCAACAGUAUCACAUCUUUAGAGGAUAAACAUGUUCUCGAAGUGUCAAAAGAUCCUGCUGGGGCCCGUGUUAUCGAGGCUUUUCUUGUUUCAAGCAUUUCUGCUAAGCAAAAGUACAAGAUAGUUGGCAAGCUUCGAGGACAUUUUGGAGAGCUCGCUGUGCUUCCAUCAGGCGCAUUUACCAUCGAGAAAUGCUUCCAUGCCUGCAACUUGUCUAUGAAGGAAACAAUUGUGUCGGAACUAUUAUCUUUCAAAGCAGAGCUGUCUAAGAGUAGACAGGGCCCGUAUCUCUUGAAGAAACUUGACAUUGAGGGAUUUGCAAGACGACCAGAGCAAUGGAGAUCUAGGCUAACUUCCAAAGAAUCCGUCUUCAACGAAUUCUACGAAGCAUUCGGACAAAAGGAUGCCAAAUCUUCUCGAGGCGGCAACUUUCUUUCGGAUUCUUAUAAAAACACUCAGGCGGAAAAGUUCAAGGGCAUAAGGAAAGAGAUAGAUGAUGGCCUUUCUUCCGGUUCUAUUUCUAAAUCAGGCACUCCCUUUCUGGCUCAUCAGGGGUCAACUAAAGUGAAAAAAUCAGGGGAUAAGAAAUCAAAAGUUCGAGGUUUCUCCCAAGACAAUAACGAUGAAUUCUCAAAAAGCAAAAAGCAUAAAACAUCAAAAGAUGGAGACAGUGCUAGGAAUGAGAAGAAACGACGUAAAAAAGAUGGAUUGUCAGAAACUUCGAACAAGAAGCUCAAGGCUGGGAUCAGUGAUUAACUUAAUCUACUCUCUACAGUUACAGCAAAACUGGUUGCAAUCCGAAGUUGCAACAAAGUGGUCCUCUCCUAGAAGAAACGGCGAAUCCUAAUCUGUCAAAGACAGGAGGUAUUCUUCUGAAGCUCGACUUCUCGUUCUUGUAUGGAAUCUUCUGUUUUACAUCCAAUCCCUUUAAAGACUUUGUAGCCGAGGUAGAUGCACUCUCUCUCUCCAGAAGGGUUCUCCUGGCUCGAGCUCCUUGCACGUUGGCAUGCAAAAUCAACACCAGUGCAAGAAGCAACGAUGCCACCACACUCAGGUUGGACUUCAUUGUGUUGCAGUGUUUGUUCGCGUGGAUACAAUAACGAUGGAGUUUGGCUUUUGUAGUGAGAUUUAUAGUGUGGUUGAGCUCAUCCAGUCCAUUCAGUCAUAUAUAUGUGUGUGUGUGCAAGAUCUUGUUGGAAUCAUAUGCAUGUUGGAUCAUGUGAUGUUUGUUUGACUA